ensembl:lncRNA
CCUGCCCUCAAUACCUGCCCGGCCGGCCCGGCGGCUGCGGCGGGGCGGGGAGUGCGACAGGAGGAAGAGGAAGGAGCCAGGAAUGAGGAAGGGACACAGUGGGAUGCGGUGCUCCUGAGGCCGCGGGGGCAGCCGACCGGGCCCCUCGCUGGCUGCAAAGCUCUCAGCCCCGGGUCUGUAAAGCACGAGCGGGGCCACGGAGCAUUCACUUGGGGGAGAAAGGAGGUCUCUGCUAGGAGCCCUCAGCAAACGCCAUUAACGUUAAGUGAAGUUGGACAGCACAGUGGAGACUCGGGGCAGCCCGGCUUCGUGUGGUGCGGCACCUCGGGAGCUGAGCUCCUGUCCAGUUUUGAGUCAAGCGUGGUUUAAUUUGUAACUCAAAAACCUUUGUGACCUUUUGUCAUUGGAAGGAGAAUGUCUCUUUGUGGUUCACCAUGCAAAUUAUCAAUUGCAUUACCACACGCUUACGUUGGGGGUUAAUGAUGCGUUCUUGCUGUGCAGAAGCAAUUCCCUCUCUUUGCACAGUCACCCGGGGGGGGUGCGGAGGAGUGGGUGUCAGCCAUCGCACUGCCGUGCAGCUGGAGGUAAAACACUGCAAGCGGCAGUGGGAACUGUGAGCUCCCAGGGGAAGCUGCUGGGAAGAAACACUGCGUACAGGCAGUGCCUGUUGGCAGCAGAGCUCUCUCGCCCUGCUUCACCCCACGUGUCGGUAUCCAGCACAGAUGGAGGCUGAAGGCAUUCAAAGCUCAAAGACACUGAGCUCAGCUGCUGUGUGCCCAGGCUGUCUUUGGCUGCGUGGAAGAAAUGCUCACGCUUCGUGAGGACAAAAGUGAACACCAGUGGGAUUCUGGGGUGCAUUAAAAAGAGCGUGGCCAGCAGGUCGAGGGAGGUGAUCCUCCCUCUCUGCCCUGGUGAGGCCACAUCUGGAGUACUGUGUCCAGUUCUGGGCUCCUCAGUUCAAGAAUGACAAGGAACUUCUAGAGAGAGAAGAUGAGGAGGAGCCUGGAGCAUCUCCCAUAUGAGGAAAGGCUGAAAGACCAGGAACUAUUCAGCCCAGAGAAGAGAAGACUAAGAGGGGAUCUCAUCACUAUUUGUAAAUAUCUGAAACGUGGGAGUCAAAUGGAUGGGGCUUUUUUUCAGUGUUGUGCAGAACCUGGACAAGGGGCAAUAGGCACAAAGUGGAACACGGGAAGUACCAUACAAAUGUGAGGGAACUUGCUUUAGCAGAAGGUUGGACUCGAUGAUCCUCAGAGGUCCCUUCCUACAGCUACAAUUCUGUGAUAUGUUGGUUUUACCUCCUCUGAUAAAUCAAUUGUCCAUCUGGAAGACAAAGCAACACCCCCAUGCUGAUAUGCUUUGUAUUAGAAGAACUGAAGAAGCACAGGAGGAAGGGAACUAGAGAAACACCAGGGGAAAACCUGUGAACACAAAUCUUUGUAUGAAGCUCUGCUGACUUCAUAUCUUCCAAAAGGUCAGGCAGAAACAGAUGGCAGCCCCUUUUCCCAUACUUAAAAGAGCAUGUAACUAUGUCCUAAAACAGAAGGAAGAAUGAGUAGUGGAAAAUCCCAAUCUUUCAGCAAAAAAAAAAUAUGUAUAUGCAUAUACAGGACUCGGCAUGAAGCUUUCACAGAAGUGGCAUGGGUCUUUACUGUAAAGAAAAAGCAAACAAUAGGAAUCCAUACUUUCAAAGUAUUUUUAUCAGUUGUAGGUUCUUCAGUCUUCAUUUCUUUACUAUGUAAGUAUGUGCAUAUUUUAGUAAAAGGGGAAAUAUUUUAGCUAAGGAAUAUUGGCAGCAUUCCGUUUGUUGAAAAUGUAUGUAAAGAGAUAAAACACAUGGAAGCACUUUACAAAGCACUUUUUUUUUUCCCCUUGCAUAACAAUUAUUUUAUAGCCAGAGCCUGUUUCAGUGAAAUGUAAGUACCUGUCUUGGUGGUUACAGUGUAAAUAGGUAAAAAUAUAAUGCACAUUUCACCAGUACUGGUACUCUCCUCAUAUCUCUGCCCCGCUGCAUUUGUUGCUCUUUUCCUCAUUUCUGGUAACUUUUCCUAUUUGUUCCUCACGGUGUAGAUCCUUCCAUUCAAACAGAGUCCUGAUUUUAGUUGUGAUGCUUUUUGCUUCAUGCUGUUCUUCUGACACCAGCUGGCUUGUAGCUAUUCUUAAGGGCCUUCAACUUUCAGGCUCUAUUGUUUGGGUUUUGUUUGUUUUUUUAAUGGGGUAGACAGGAAAGGGAAGAAAAAAGGACUAUUUUCAGAUCCUGUGUUUCAUUAAUUAUGCAAAAGCUGUUUCUGUUUUUGUAUCACAGCAAAGCAGUGAGUCCUGAGGUGAAAUGGAAAUAUCAGUAUCUGGUGAUGAGUACGAGGGACUCAAAGAGAAAUAGAUUUAUGCCUUUAGUAUUUACAUUUGCAGUAAUAUCAGCAAAAAGCUGCUAUUCCUGCAUAAAAUAUCUAAUUUCAAGCAAAAUUCUAUUGAGCAAAACCACCAACCAGAAUUAUCUGACUAUAUUUUGAAGAAAUUGCAGUGCUCUUUCUGACCUCUUAGAGAAAUUGCUGUCAUUGUUUAUCCUAAGCUUUCCUCUGAAUUUUCUACUGUAGUACGAAGCUUCAAACUGUGUUGCCCACUCCUGAUGCCUCUAAACAUGUGGGAAGCAGCUACUAAUUUGUAUUUUUCUAUUCCUCAAUGAUGCCAGUUCACAACAAGUACAUUGGAAGUGACGUACUCAUAUCAAUAUAAAUAAGUGGCCUGAUUUUACAGGUUUGUAAUAUAGAUGCAUAUUUAAUAAACAGAUUUGAUGAUCCUUGGCAGACUUAUCUUUCACAGAAAUUUUGUCUCUCUGAAGUUUGUCUUUAAAUGUGGACUGUUACAACUCUCAGUAUUUUUUUUUCAGGCUGAAAAUUGCAUUCCAUAACUAGUCUAAAGUUAUGUUGAGUUUCAGACCUUAAAUAUUAACCCGAUUUCAGAAAUAAAGUUCUGCAAUAGAAAAUGAUGUAAAAAAGGUCAUACAGUGUGGUUCUCUUAUUUUCUAUAACAUGAGGCAACAGUUGAUUACACUGAAUAGCAAGCAAGAUUAAAGGGAAAUGAAAUUUAAAAAUGAAAAAUAAAUCCUAACUAACUUCUGUCUUCAAUCUCAUCUUCAAUGGCAAGUGAAACAGUAUGGUACAGGCACAAACAUCACUGCAGCAACCACAUAAACAUGGCUGGGGGAGAUCACAAUUGUGAAUGUGUGAUUAGUGUCACCACACUCGGAGUAUGUUAACAGGGCGGCAGAAGAACAGACCAAAAGAAAAAAGGAAAGGCUCCCUUUCCCUCAGCACCCUUUCUGGCUGGGCCUGUAGAAAACCAGUCCAUUUACUGCGAAACCACUUGUGGUAACCAAAAAAGGGAACUCUCAUUGUGGUUGAAAAUGGUUUUUGAACUGUGAAGGUACAAGUUCUCUUUUUCAGUAAGCCACAUUAUUUUUUUCUACAUAGACCUCAUUGAAGAGAUUUGGGUUUAAAUUAUUACUGAAUCAAUGACAAUUAACAUAUUAGCUAUUUUACUCAGAAGAACUUCCUUCACUUCUGUCUGUGUACUGAACCAUGAAGCAUUCGGGAAUCCCAGCCUGCUCUGAAGGGAACUGGAUCAUCAAGUUACAGCUCAUUUCAGGUCCAGUCGCUGUAUUUCAUUUCACUGAGAUUUUAUGUCAUUCGUUUCAGUCACAGGAGGACAUGAAGCAGCCACAGAUGUUGCAAAGUUGACGACUGAGUUUGAAAGUUGACAAUUAAGUUUGAUUUUAAUUAGUAAAGCCUCUGCUAACUCCUUAUAAGUAUGGAACUGUUGUGUCAGUAGAAGAAUCCUCCAUUUGAGGGCCGGCCAGCAGAAGAGCAUCCUUGCCGCUAGAGUGAGCAGACUGAAGCCUGAGAACCCAUGCAGUAGGACAAUAUGUUCUUUCAUUUCUUGCACAAAUGCUGACGUGUGUGCCAGCUAGAACUUUUUCUUCACUUGUAGCGCCUGUUACUUGAAUCUUUGUUUCUUGUGUCUUCUCUAGACCUCCUUUUCAGCUGUAAAUUGUUUACUUGAGGAUGAAGGAAAGUAAUUUGUGCUCUUCUAUUUUGCUCAGCAAAAUAUAUCAUUAAUUUUGCUUUGGAUGUAGAAUUUUAUUUUGAGUAUCUUGGUGUCAGAUACUGAUGUGAAAUAAGUUGAAAUCAUUUACAGGUCUUCCUGAGCUUAUCUACAGUUCCUUAAUGGCCUGAAAGACUGAAAAGUAUUAGUGUCCUUUUCAAGGCUGUGUAGGAGAAGAACCAAAGUGGAAAAUGAGGCAUCCUCUCUUUCCUUUUAAUACCUCUUUGUUAUGCAAGUAUAUUGAUCAUUGUCUGCAGUAACAGUGGAACAGUUCUGUGGCUGCUCUGAAAAUUAGAAGAAAAUGUUUUCCCUUCCUCAGCCUAACUAUCAUCAUAGCUCAUCUUCAGAACAGUACGCCACAGUGUUUGUUGAAACACUCUUUAGUCUUCUUGCUUGGCUUAUACCUUAGAAGAGAUAAUUCCUAAGUUUUACACCCAACAAUAAACAUGAAUGGAGUACUUCAGUUUAUUUUGAUUUAUCUGCAGGUAUUAAAAAGAACUUGCACUCUUUCCUCUAAGUUUCCUGAUAGCUUUUAAAUUCAGUGUAAUGAAAUUUCUUUCCAGCCAUUAACCAGCCACUGUACAGCUCAAGAACCUC